UACGGAGGGUGCAAGCAUUAAUCGGAUUUAUUGGGCGUAAAGGGCGCGUAGGCGGAAAUGCAAGUUAGGAGUGAAAUUCCGGAGCUCAACUUCGGAGGUGCUUUUAAAACUGCAUAUCUUGAGGGUAGGCGGAGAAAACGGAAUUCCAUGUGUAGCGGUGAAAUGCGUAGAUAUAUGGAAGAACACCUGUGGCGAAAGCGGUUUUCUAGCUUAUUCCUGACGCUGAGGCGCGAGAGCAAGGGGAGCAAACAGG
rnacentral:misc_RNA from 1 species